AUGCGAGUUCGACUGUUCUAUCCAUGUUCAGCAGUCCCUUUCCAUCUUGGUACUGUUGAUGGCAGUACCGCAUUUGGCGCUGCCUUCCUCCAUGUCUACCACACUCUCACCCUGAAACCUGACCACCACAGGUCAGGGAACAUGUGUCCCAGACCGUGUCACCUGAGUUCUCCACCAUCCGGUGGUGGCCGGAGGGAGGGGUUCCGAACUUUCUUGAUCGUAGUUAGAUUUUUGGUUGUACAUGACUUCGGUUCAGGUGAUGAUGACCACGAAGAAUUAUUUUCUUCUAGAUCUCUUACCGAAGUAGCGGUUCUUUCAACUAUCGACAUUGGAUAUGGAAGAUGGGUGUGCAAGUUGUCUCGGGUCCUUUGCCAUUGGGAGGGUGCUUUGUGUGUCUUCAUGUUGGUGUUAAGGUGA
rnacentral:rRNA from 1 species